ensembl:lncRNA
AUCACAGAAUUGCAAGAGUUGGGAGGGACCUCUACAAUCUGCAACAUUGAUCCAGGUACUUGGAUUGUCACUCCAUCAUCUUUAUUGCACAGCACUUGAGUAAUGAACACAAAUUAGUACUGAAUACAUUUAAACUUUAAUUCCAUUUGCAAUCAUGGAAUACACUGAUUUGGAAUGGACCCACAAAGAUCAUCAAGUCUUACUCCUGACUAUACAUAGGACUGUAUGAAUACUUCUUUGUUUUUUGGCUUAAAGCUUGCUUUCUGAGGCAUUUCUUGAGAUAAGACUCUAAGUUAGAUGAGAGAUGGGUGUUGCUGUGUGGCAAUCAACAUCACUGUGUGGACCAUUUUACAUUUGAAAGCAUUUCUCUGGAGCUAUUUUCCUCCGGAAGAGAGUGCUCAGGAGUGGUUACUGGCAGAAGAUCUGGCCUGUGACUAAAUAGCCCCAGGUUGGUGUGGGAAAACUGGGGAAUGAUACCAUCGUGUCCUGUGAAAAACAGGAUUCAGAUGGACAUCCCUGCUCCCUCUUAUUUGCUGGCAAGGCCCGGAAGAUAGUAACAAAGCAGUUUCUGCUGAAUCCCAGAGCCAGUAGCUGCCACUCCAAGGAGAGCUGACUCAACCACUUUGGAUUUGAGCUGUCACUCAAAAGAGAGCUGAUUUGACCAGUUUUGACUUAUAAAUAAGUUUGUACUGCCAUUGCCGUUGUCAUUGUCAUCUCUGUGGACACUGUUGUCAACAGAACAACAACGCCCGAUGACCCACCACUACUGAAGAUAAGUGACUGAACUACGAACCACGCUGGACCCACGGUGGUGACUAUCAUCUCCUUCUUGCCACCUAUAGAGACUCCUUGCUCCUAUUUCCUAUCUUUUCUGCUGCCCUUCUUCCCUUCCCCAUCA